UGCAUGUUUCGCGGCAGUUUCAAAGUGAAAUGUCCAGAGAGUGGCGCUAAAACACGUUUAAUACGUGACUGUGGCACGUUUUUAUUACAUUGGUACAAGCACGUACUGUAGCGCUUUUAACACGUUGCUUGAGGAACGUAUUGCGGCUGUUCAGAAUUCAAAUAUUGGGGGAGUGUCGCUAAAGAUUAAUGCUCUUAUCAUGUUGGAAAUAUCCCCUACACCAAACUAUGGCUGUCAAAACGGCUGAAAAACUAAAUUCAAAUUUUAUUCUUAAAUAUUAGCAAAAUUCGAAUUCUGAAGGCAAUUCUUAAAGGUGUGUAGUGGGAUGAACAGAGUGUGCGUUGUUUCUUUAAAUAUGCCAUGAAUGCAUGAGUUGUCCAAUCAUAUAUUUUCAGGGGUAUAUAAAAGGGGACUUUUAAGGCUCCCUUGUGCGUCAUUCGCUGCCCGAGGCCCGUCCAUUCCGGUUUUGGCUCUUCCCGUCUCUCAGAUGUCUCCAUGGUUGCAAGCAGCUGGUCAUGCUGGUUAUGUUGAAGGAAGUUAGCCUAUUUUCAGGCGCUGCGUAAUAUCAUUGUGCCUGCUGAGAUCGACUGAAUGGAUCGGCGAAAACGUGACCUCUGAAUAUGUGACAUCCGCCAGUGGCUCUGGACCAUCUUUAAAAAAAGCCAAAACUAUUGAAUAAAUUAUAUUUGCUUAUUUUGAAUGGUAUUUGUUUAAAUAAGGUUUAAAACUCAACCUUUGUGUCUCUUAUUCACUUCAGUCACAACGUCACAGAUCUGAUCAGAACCUGCUGGACAGCAAACAAGGAGGAUAAAAGCAGCAGCAGCAGUGAGAUGAAGAUCAACAAGCACAACAAUCCCAAAACCACUCCAGCGACCAGAAGAAGAGAUGAAGCUGCUGAGACUGAAGAACAUGACAAACGCGCAGAUCUGUUAGUGUGAGACAAACUGUAUUAUACUAUUACAAAGGAGUAGAAACCCUCAUGUGACUUUGAGACAGUCGUGAUGUUCAUCUCUCCUGUCGUCUGAUUCUGGACGAGUGAUCCGUCUUUAUAGAAAUCAGCUCCGAGGAUCGGGAGUUUGUAGAUCGAUGUAAACAGUGUAGAGU